rnacentral:sRNA from 1 species
AAAUAAGACUAUAUGUCAUGUGUAGUAUUGAGUAUAAGAACUAGAACCGCAACCGGUUCCCAAAAGCAAAAGUAGUGUUUCCUUGU